UUUUUGAAAAUAAUUUAAAGUCUAAUCUGCCCACUGAUAUUAUAUUGAAGGGCUGCAGUAUUUUGACUGUACAAAGGUAGCAUAAUCAUUAGUCUCUUAAUUGGUGACUUGUAUGAAGGAUUUGAUGAAAUAUAAACUGUCUCAUUUUAAUUUAUAGAAUUUAAUUUUUUAGUUAAAAAGCUAAAAUUUAAUUAAAAGACGAGAAGACCCUAUAGAGUUUAAUAAUUUAGUUAAUUAUUAUUUUAUAUAAAUAUUUUUUUAUUAAUUAAUUAAAUUAUUUUGUUGGGGUGAUAGAAAAAUUGAAUUAACUUUUUAUAUAAAUUAACAUUAAUUUAUGAAUAAAUGAUCCGUAAUUUACGAUUAUAAGAAAAAAUUACCUUAGGGAUAACAGCGUAAUUUUUUUUUUUAGUUCAAAUAAGAAAAAGAGUUUGCGACCUCGAUGUUGGAUUAAGAUAAAAUUUAAAUGCAAAAGUUUAAAAUUUUU
rnacentral:rRNA from 1 species